AAUCCCGGCAAUGGGCAAAGAGACACCUUGUUGCUGGUGUUGUUCUUAUAUCAGUUAGGGACAGAGCAGAUGGCAGUCCUUUGUUCAUCCUAGCUUGAUUCCUGGCUUGGUGGACAAAGCUGUCUUAUGCCUAGGACACAUAA